UAGUCCCACUUUGCUGUUCUAUCUGGGUGUCUGCUUCUUAAUGCUUUCAGCGCCGCCUGGGUAGGGGUCUCUGCAGCUGAGCUGGCUGCUCCUUCUCUUCU